rfam:Triticum aestivum genome assembly, contig: Triticum_aestivum_CS42_TGACv1_scaffold_526718_6DL
CCUCUCUCUGAAGGGGAGAUAACCUCCUACGUGCUCAAAGGGCUGGACAUCGAUUACAAUCCGGUGAUUUCAGCCCUGGCUGCACGCGUUGAGCCGGUGACCGUCCAAGAACUCUACAAUUAGCUGCUGAGUUUUGAAG